GAAUUUAAAACUACUACUACUAUUGAUUUCUGUGUCUCGAAAAAUACAAAAAGGUCAUCCUAGUGGACUUUGCAAACAGAUUGAGGGUGGAAGAGCUGAUGGUGCAACCCUUUUAAAAAAAAGUUUUCCUUAGCGAUCAUCCUCCAAAGUUGUUCGAACAAAUGAUGGAGGUUGUGCAAAUAUAAUGAUGCCUGCAGAACUAUCCAUGUGGCAG
rnacentral:lncRNA from 1 species